GUUGUGGUUGUUAAUGAUUUGGUUGUGGUUGUUGGUGCCUCAGUUGGAGUUGUUGUUGGUGCCUCAGUUGGAGUUGUUGUUGGUGCCUCAGUUGUUGUGGUCGUUGCUUCUGUUGUAGUUGUUGCUUCAGUUGUGGUUGUCGUUGGUGCCUCAGUUGUUGUGGUUGUUGUUGUUGCUUCAGUUGUGGUUGUCGUUGGUGCCUCAGUUGUAAUUGUUACUUCAGUUGUUGUAAUUGUUGCUUCUGUUGUGGUUGUUGUUGGUGCCUCAGUUAUUGUGGUCAAUGUUUCUGUUGUGGUUGUUGGUGAUUCAGUUGUGGUCGUUGGAGAUUCUGUUGUGGUUGUUGGUGAUACUGUUGUAGUAGUAGUAGUUGGUAUUUCAGUUGUUGUCGAAGUUGUUGUUGAUUUAUUUGUGGCAGUUGGUGAUUCAGUUGUAGUGGUAGGUGGUAUUUCCAUUGUUGUUGUUGGAGGUUUUUCAGUUGUGGUUGUCGUUGGUACCUCAGUUGUAAUUGUUGCUUCAGUUGUUGUGGUUGUUGCUUCAGUUGUGGUUGUUGUUGGUGCUUCAGUUGUUGUAAUUGUUGCUUCAGUUGUGGUUGUUGUUGGUGCCUCAGUUGCUGUGGUUGUUGCUUCAGUUGUGGUUGUCGUUGUUGCUUCAGUUGUUGUGGUUGUUGCUUCAGUUGUGGUUGUCGUUGGUGCCUCAGUUGUAGUGGUUGUUGCUGCAGUUGUUGUGGUUGUUGCUUCAGUUGUGGUUGUUGUUGGUGCCUCAGUUAUUGUGGUCAAUGUUUCGGUUGUGGUUGUUGGUGAUUCAGUUGUGGUCGUUGGAGAUUCUGUUGUGGUUGUUGGUGAUACUGUUGUAAUAGUAGUUGGUAUUUCAGUUGUUGUCAAAGUUGUUGUUGAUUUAGUUGUGGCAGUUGGUGAUUCAGUUGUGGUUGUUGGUGAUUCAGUUGUAUUGGUGGGUGGUAUUUCCAUUGUUGUUGUUGGAGGUUUAUCAGUUGUGAUUGUUGGUAGUUCACUUGUCGUUGGUCGCGAUUCAGUUGUUGUGGUUGUUGGUGAUUCAGUUGUUGUGGUUGUUAUUGAUUCAGUUGUGGUUGUUAAUGAUUUGGUUGUGGUUGUUGGUGCCUCAGUUGGAGUUGUUGUUGGUGCCUCAGUUGUGGUUGUUGCUUCAGUUGUUGUGGUUGUUGCUUCAGUUGUAAUUGUUGCUUCAGUUGUGGUUGUUGUUGGUGCCUCAGUUGUUGUGGUUGUUGCUUCAGUUGUAGUGGUUUAAUAUUGACGGGAAAUUAUGGACCCAUUUUUUAUCAACGUAAAUAAAAAAGCUAGGGAGGACUGUAAAUACA
rnacentral:lncRNA from 1 species